UCUAGCCUGAUUUAGCCAUUCUAUUACCACUUUUGAUGUGUGUUUGGGGUCAUUGUCCUGUUGGAACACCCAACUGCGCCCAAGACCCAACCUGUAACAUACGUCUCUGCUGAAUAAGUUACUGUGCUGUCCCUUAUGAAACAGUCAUAUUCAAACAGUGCCCUGUUUCAUCCACAACUACAAAUAGCAGUGCAACAAAGGAUAUUUAUGUUUAUGUCUUAACUAGUUAGCUAACGCUCAAUUUAGCCUUAGAAAACAAAAUAACAUCCGAAAUGAACCGUUUCAAAAAUCUGAGGAUUAUUAAAACCUUAAUGUUAACGUUAUAUGCGUCAUCCACAAAAUGAGGGAAAUGUGGCGUUUCCAGCCGAGCUACAGGCACCAAUAUUGUAUGUAUACUAACGUUAGCUUAUUCAGACACUCGGAUAAGAUGACUGUGAAUUAAGAACCCUUUAAUAUCUCAAAGAAACAUUUAUAACCUAAAGAUAUGAAAAACAUGUAGAACCAUUUAAUAGAUGUAAUGGUUCUUUAGAAGGUUCUUUGUAGAACCACACUGCCUUCUAAAGAACCAUUUUUUUUUGCGUGAAGGGCAAGACAACGACCAAGUGCCGGUCAGACCUUUUGAGUAGUAUUCUGUCAUACUGACAGUAAAAACAGCAGACUGGGGUAUUCAGGAAUUGGGCUGACUUCCGUGUCAUUAUUCCAUUUCCGUGCAUCUCCAAGACUUACCGUAACUCUCUCCUCUCUGGCAUCAACCUAUCACUGGUUUUAAUACAUGACAUUAUCCCAAUCCUGGCUUCUCUUCACUGGCUCCUUUGAGUUAGAAUUAAAGAAGAAUGGGAAUUCAUUAUUUACCAAACUUACAUUACCUUCAUGGACAAUUUGUCAGGAAUUCAGCUUCCUGAACAGGGUUUGUUACAUUGCCACUCUAACCUGUUUUUUCUGAGUUUCCCCAAACACAUCCUGACUAAUUAUUCAACCAUCGACACCUGCUGCUGCCUGCACACCCGGUCCUGAUUACCAUCCCCUUCACCAUUGAAGCCGUGACCAGACAACCAGUCCUUGCCGGAUCGUUAGCGUACCACCUCAUUACUUGGAUCGCCCUUUUCCCCUGCCUAGCCGUUGACCCGACUCCAGCCCCCACUCAUCACCACCCAACCGGACCAGACCUUCCCCACACCUUUUUUUUGCAUAAUAAAUACCCACCUUUUAUUUUGA